ACUUCUCUUUCCUUUAUCUCUCCUACAAGAUUCAAUUGAGCAGCCUCCCAUGCCAAUUGUUCACUUCUAGCAUGACUUAAAAUACCUAAAGCCUCUAUACUUUAAAAUACUUUCUUAUUCCUUGAUUUCUAUAAAAGCCAAAGUCUCCAAAAAAGCUAUGAACAUGAUCUUCUUCUAGACCAUGACUGUCCACCUGUCCAGGCUUGCAAGGCGUUUACAGUGCUGCGAUGCACCUGAGAUAUUAAUGGCUAUUCCGACUACAACAUAUAACUACCUUGGUCAGUUAAAGCUAAGAAUAUCUAUGGGAAACCAUAUAAAAAAGCUUAGAAGUUAUAAUCGUACUCGUAAAGCAAUGGAUCAUCUUCAUCAAUCAAUAGCAAUAACCCUUUUCUGGUGGAUCUCAGUAUUAAUAAGAAGAAGAGGAGUGAAAGUUAAUAAGAGAGAACUGUCAUGUUGCUUUCUCGUCCAUUCCUCUCU